UACGUAGGGCGCAAGCGUUGUCCGGAUUCACUGGGUGUAAAGGGUGCGCAGGCGGACUGGCAAGUCAGGGGUGAAAUCUCACAGCUCAACUGUGAAACUGCCUUUGAUACUGCUGGUCUUGAGUCAGGGAGAGGUUGAUGGAAUUCCCGGUGUAGCGGUGGAAUGCGUAGAGAUCGGGAAGAACAUCAGUGGCGAAGGCGGUCUGCUGGGCCGUUGCUGACGCUGAGGCGCGACAGCGUGGGGAGCAAACAGG
rnacentral:rRNA from 1 species